AGGCCGGGAACUCAAAGGAGACUGCCAGUGAUAAACUGGAGGAAGGUGGGGAUGACGUCAAGUCAUCAUGGCCCUUACGACCAGGGCUACACACGUGCUACAAUGGCGCAUACAAAGAGAAGCGACCUCGCGAGAGCAAGCGGACCUCAUAAAAUGCGUCGUAGUCCGGAUUGGAGUCUGCAACUCGACUCCAUGAAGUCGGAAUCGCUAGUAAUCGUGGAUCAGAAUGCCACGGUGAAUACGUUCCCGGGCCUUGUACACACCGCCCGUCACACCAUGGGAGUGGGUUGCAAAAGAAGUAGGUAGCUUAACCUUCGGGAGGGCGCUUACCACUUUGUGAUUCAUGACUGGGGUGAAGUCGUAACAAGGUAACCGUAGGGGAACCUGCGGUUGGAUCACCUCCUUACCUUAAAGAAGC
rnacentral:rRNA from 1 species